AUCUAUCCGUACCAUUUUCUUAUCAGUUAUGAUAGACUUAUGCUAAAUAUAGUUAUAAAUGCGACCUACAGUACAGUAUAAAUAUAAGGAUUUGUAUGUUAAUAAUCAACCACCAUCGAAUAUAUAUCAUAUCUAAAUGCUAUAUUAAAAUAAAUUACAAAUUACAUAAGCUGUUGUUUUGCUCAAUUAUAUACAUUAUAUUUCUCUCAUGUAAUAUUUUUGUAGGAAUUGGAUACAGAAUUCAGUCUCAUAUACUUCCCUAUAUUUAGAUAAAAUAUAUAUAUUCUUGUUUAAUGUUGUUGAGAAGUGUUUACUGUGUGUGAUGUUGGUCUUCUGUUUACAUUUAAAGACAGCAAGGGUGUCAAUUUAUUCAGGCAAACGAAGGAAGGUUUUUUCUAUCAUCUGUGACUCAGCACAGAAAAUAAUCUUGAUGCCUGUGGUUCUGGAGUCUUGAAGGGUUUUGGCUCAAGCUUUAUCAAGGCAGACCAGUGGAGGGCUGUAAAACACACUAAUACAAAAAUUGUUACACAGUCCAUUUUUGAUAUGAAUAAAUAAAAGGAUGGAUGUUCCAGGGAAUGUUUCAGGGAAAAAGGACAACUGGCCGAGUUCCAGGAGACUUAGAGCAAUUAGUGUGAGUUCUGUCAGUGGAAAGUUAUGUUCCUUCGACUGUCUGAGAAAUAUUUAUUUUACACAUUUAUCAGUUUUAGCAGGGAGGAGACUAUGUGUUUAAUAAACAGUGCAAUUAGAAUUUGACUUAUCUGAUAUGAGCAUCUGGGGUUUUCUCAUAGAAAGUCUCAUGGAAAAAGUUUUCUCAAAGUCUCAUAGAAAAGAAAAGCACAAACAAGAAUUGUGGAAAGCUCAUAACCAGUCCACAGGAAAAAUGCUUCAAGGUUUUGUAGCGAUUUUGGCUCGCGAAGCAAGGUAAAUAUUUAUAAGUAAUUAUAACGUGUUAUAGUGACUCCUAAAUAUUUUAACCUAAGUUGAAAUUGACGGUAAUGGAAUUAACGUUACACUUAUUUGGUCUGUUCGUCCGCCGAACAGAUCGUGUAACCUUUAUUAAUUCUAUGAAGGUGGUAUGUUCCCGGCCGAGAAAGACGCACUUCCCUUUUACUUUAUACCGUAAUAUAAAUUAAAUUAACUUAAUAGAGCAUGUAGUUCAGACCAGAUGUUGCAGGUACCUUACGUUUGUGAGCGAUACUCAGAGACAAUCACUUGUGGAACAAAAAUAUGGCGUUUAAUGAAUGAGACAAAUACAACAUAAAGCUAACUAUACGAACAAACAAAAGAAGUAGAGAAAACAAAGAUGAAAAUAAAAAUACACAAAAGAAAUUAAAAUUGGGGAAAGAGAGGAAGAGACUGGAAAGAAGAAAUUAGAGAAAGGAAGGAAAGGAAUGGCAAGCUUAAACUUCAAAAUUAAUCACACCCUAACUGGGAAAUCGUCACCGGAAACUUAAAUUCACCUUAAGACUCAAUACAAGGUUCAUACUUAAAAUACGCAUCUAAAUUGGUUGGUAAAGGAAAUGGUUACUUGCAUUGGCUUGCUGCACAAGAGUAAGGAUGCAACAGAGAAAUCUCUGACGAGUCAGUUAGGGUGGGGCAGUUGUCGUUAUUGGAAGUGAAGCUUGCUGGAAGUUCUUUGAAGGAAGAUGGAGUCAUCUCCGAGCUGUUCUGAAAGUCUGACCUGUUUGUGACAUUUUAAAGGUGCCGCACUCCACCCAUCUUUGGGGAGAUGGCCAAUACUACGGCCCGGAUUCCGGAGGGAAAAACUCCCUUUGUUUCAGGUGUCUGUGGGCGUGGUUUAGCUAUAAAACUUUUAGAUGACUUUAAAGUUUUAUCCAAGGUGUAUUAAGAUGGUAUGGCGCCUUUCGUGCUCAAAUAAAAUACACCAUUGUUUGAAAAAUGAGUAACCGAUAAUUUUGUGGUAAUUUGGAUACUAAACAUGAAGGGGAAUGACGGUAUAAAGGCAGCGGUACAUUACAUACACAGAUCAAUAAUCAAAGUGUAACUGAUGUUACUACGAUAUUGUGUUCUGAUAAAGGCAAAGAAACAAAAAUGAAACACAAAACAAAAUGCAUUUUCAUUAGGGACGUGAAAAACAGAUAAUUUUGUAUACAUUCUGACAUCAGACCUUAAAAGGACAUACAGCAUUAGAACAGGUAUACAUUAACAUGCCAGGGUCGGUAAUUAAAGUAUAACUGAUGUUAAUACAGUGUUGUGUUCUCGUUUUAUUAGUAAAAGGAAUGUCCCACUGUGUUUUGUGUGUGUGUGUGUGUGUGUGUGUGUGUUCUUGUUGAGGGCCCCUAUGAGUUCAAUCAGAGAAGCGGCAUGAGGUUAUCUGGUCUUUGUGUAGGAUCCAGCCAUUCUGGAGCCAGUUGUGUGUGUGUGACACUGUGGAAUGCAGACCCUCAAUAAAUUGAACAAAAACACGGGUGUUUUUAAGGAAUCAACCUGAACAAUUAAAGAAUGUCCAAAAUGGAAUAAUGGACAGGCUGAAAAGACGCGUUGAGAUCCAGCUUGUGGAUUCAGUUGAUAGCUGUAAUGUCAGCAUCGCUUUUGUUCCAAUUGUGUCUCGGGCCGGAACAGACAUUGAAGCUGCUCUUCGAACUAUUCCCACAUCUCCCCAACAGUCUGUUGUCCUCAUAGUUAUCCACCACACCUUUGAUGGAGAUUACAUUGCUCCAGUCAGCAAUUGGUCUGUGAAAAGGGAAGGUGUGUUUGCUGUAGACUUCCUCGGUCAUGAAGAUUGUGGACUGCUGGAAUGUUUGGCCAAUGAUAUGGCACUUAAAUCCCUCACUGAUUAUCUGGCCCCUGAUGCACCAGAUACCCCACAGCUUCUACCAAAUACUCCACAAUGUCCAAGACAUUAUUGGAUCAAGUUUGUUGUCGUCUGUUGUCUUUUGGUUGUUUGUGUCCUCUGUAUUGUGCUACUUGUUUAUUUUCUCGAUCAGCCAAGUCAAGGAAAUAAUCACAUUCUACCUCUGAAUAUGACCAACAUAACUCUACCUGUAACUACACCUGCAACUACACAGUAGCCUAAUGUAACUGUAUCUAAAUAGAAGACUGUUAUUAUGCAUCUACUUUCUUUAUUUAACCAGGUGAGUCAGUUGGGAACCAGUUCUCAUUUACAAUGACAACCUGACCAAGAGGCAACAUAAAAACUAAUACACUACACAAACACAGCUAUCACAUGUAAAAAACACUAAAAACAUGUACAGUGAUCAUGAGUUAGUGACUGAAUUGAAUAUUUAAAGGAAGAAAGCGAUAUAAAUUAACUAAGCUUAAGAGUCCGCUGCAGAUGAUUCCAAUCAUAUGCAGCAGAAAACUGAAAAGAGCAUCGACCAAAGAACGUACGGACUUUAGGAAUGCAGAAAUUAAAGAAUCGGCUAGAGCGCAGAUUACGACUUGUAUUAUUAACAUUAAGCAGGGACUGUAAAUACAAGGGAGUUUUACCGAUAAGAGUUUUAUAAAUGAAAAAAAACAAUGAGUUUGUCUGCAAGAAUGAAGAGAAGACCAAUUCAACAUCUGUAACGCCAAAGCAGCUUAAUCUAACUACAGCUAGAGCAGUCUAACAUAAUGGUAACUAAACAGCAACAAGUGUUUAGCUAUAACUACACAGCACACUAAUCUAACAGUAGCUGCAAAAUAAAUAUAUAUAAAAUAUAAGUCUAAUAUUGAUUCUUCUGAAUCAGCUGCAUUUUCAUUACAGUUACAUUUUUUUAUUUUGACAAUGAGUCGAUCAAACUUGUUGCAAGUAUUUUUGACAUCAGUCAUUAUAUAAUCAUUCUAACUAGAAGAAAAAAAAAAGAAACCAUACACUAUAAAAACAUUCUGUGCUUCAUAAAGGUUUCAUUUAGAACAUUUUUUGAUGAAACAGUUUUUUUCCGUUUCUAAGAGUUUCUUAGACAAAUCUACCAUAAUGUGUUUUUUAGGUUUAAGAUUAAAUCCAUUUAAAAUAUUUAAUGCUUAUUAAACACAUUCAUAAUCUUGCGCUAAUUCACUAAUGCAUGAAUUCAUAUUCCUUAUAUGAGUCUGUAGGUAAACAGCUCAUGUAUUUUAGCUUCUAAUAAUGAUUAAAACUCUCAUAUGCUGCUGCUAAAAUGUAAUGUGAUGUUUGUGAAAAUAAAAAUAAAAUAAAAUAAAAUGAAAAACCUUCA